rnacentral:rRNA from 1 species
CACGUAGGGGACGAGCGUUGUCCGGAUUUAUUGGGCGUAAAGAGCUCGUAGGCGGCUCGGUAAGUCAGGUGUGAAAACUCUAGGCUCAACCUAGAGACGCCACCUGAUACUGCUGUGGCUAGAGUCCGGUAGGGGAGCAUGGAAUUCCUGGUGUAGCGGUGAAAUGCGCAGAUAUCAGGAGGAACACCAGCGGCGAAGGCGGCGCUCUGGGCCGGAACUGACGCUGAGGAGCGAAAGCGUGGGUAGCAAACAGG